ensembl:lncRNA
GGGGGUACCGGUACAGAGUCAAUGUGGGGGCUAUAUACAGGGGGUACCGGUACAGAGUCAAUGUGGAGACUAUAUACAGGGGGUACCGGUACAGAGUCAAUGUGGAGACUAUAUACAGGGUAUUACGGUACAGAGUCAAUGUGGAGGCUAUAUACAGGGGGUACCAUUACAGAGUCAAUGUGGAGGCUAUAUACAGGGGGUACCAUUACAGAGUCAAUGUGGAGGCUAUAUACAGGGGGUACCAGUACAGAGUCAAUGUGGAGGCUAUAUACAGGGUGUUACGGUACCGAGUCAAUGUGGAGGCUAUAUACAGGGUGUUACGGUACAGAGUCAAUGUGGAGACUAUAUACAGGGUGUUACGGAGUCAAUGUGGAGGCUAUAUACAGGGUGUUACGGUACCGAGUCAGUGUGGAGGCUAUAUACAGGGUGUUACGGUACCGAGUCAGUGUGGAGGCUAUAUACAGGGGGUACCGGUACAGAGUCAAUGUGGAGGCUAUAUACAGGGGUACUGGUACAGAGUAAAUGAGGAGGCUAUAUACAGGGGGGGUACUGGUACAGAGUCA